rnacentral:rRNA from 1 species
UUUCCCGGUUGAUCCUGCCAGGACCUGACUGCUAUCGGAUUGAUACUAAGCCAUGCGAGUCAUUGUAGUAAUACAAGGCAGACGGCUCAGUAACGCGUAGUCAACCUACCCUAUGGACGGGAAUAACCUCGGGAAACUGAGAAUAAUGCCCGAUAGAACAUUAUGCCUGGAAUGGUUUAUGUUCCAAAUGAUUUAUCGCCGUAGGAUGGGACUGCGGCCUAUCAGUUUGUUGGUGAGGUAAUGGCCCACCAAGACUAUUACAGGUACGGGCUCUGAGAGGAGUGGCCCGGAGAUGGGUACUGAGACACGGACCCAGGCCCUAUGGGGCGCAGCAGGCGAGAAAACUUUGCAAUGUGCGAAAGCACGACAAGGUUAAUCCGAGUGGUUUCUGCUAAAGAAACCUUUUGUCGGUCCUAGAAACACCGAUGAAUAAGGGGUGGGCAAGUUCUGGUGUCAGCCGCCGCGGUAAAACCAGCACCUCAAGUGGUCAGGAUGAUUAUUGGGCCUAAAGCAUCCGUAGCCGGCUCUGUAAGUUUUCGGUUAAAUCUGUAUGCUCAACAUACAGGCUGCCGGGAAUACUGCAGAGCUAGGGAGUGGGAGAGGUAGACGGUACUCGGUAGGAAGGGGUAAAAUCCUUUGAUCUAUUGAUGACCACCUGUGGCGAAGGCGGUCUACCAGAACACGUCCGACGGUGAGGGAUGAAAGCUGGGGGAGCAAACCGGAUUAGAUACCCGGGUAGUCCCAGCUGUAAACUAUGCAAACUCAGUGAUGCAUUGGCUUGUGGCCAAUGCAGUGCUGCAGGGAAGCCGUUAAGUUUGCCGCCUGGGAAGUACGUACGCAAGUAUGAAACUUAAAGGAAUUGGCGGGGGAGCACCACAAGGGGUGAAGCCUGCGGUUCAAUUGGAUUCAACGCCGGG